rnacentral:snRNA from 1 species
GACAUCAAAAAUUCAGCCUAAGCCCAAAGACCCGGCUGAUGACAUCAGUCAAUGACUGGUAAUUUAGUGUUGGCAAUCUCGCACUCAGAUAGACUUCAUUGUACGAGUCGCUUCCCCACCACAAGGUCGA